UACGAAGGUCCCAAGCGUUGUUCGGAAUCACUGGGCGUAAAGGGAGCGUAGGCUGCGUGGUAAGUCAGAUGUGAAAUCCCGGGGCUCAACCCCGGAACUGCAUCCGAUACUGCCAUGCUUGAGGGUUGGAGAGGUAGCUGGAAUUCUCGGUGUAGCAGUGAAAUGCGUGGAUAUCGAGAGGAACACUCGUGGCGAAGGCGAGCUACUGGACAACAUCUGACGCUGAGGCUCGAAGGCUAGGGGAGCAAAAGGG
rnacentral:rRNA from 1 species